CCUACGGGCGGCUGCAGUGGGGAAUAUUGGACAAUGGGCGAAAGCCUGAUCCAGCCAUGCCGCGUGUGUGAAGAAGGCCUUCGGGUUGUAAAGCACUUUCAGUGGGGAAGAAAGCCUUGGGGCUAAUACCCUCGAGGAAGGACAUCACCCACAGAAGAAGCACCGGCUAACUCCGUGCCAGCAGCCGCGGUAAUACGGAGGGUGCGAGCGUUAAUCGAAAUUACUGGGCGUAAAGCGCGCGUAGGCGGUCUGAUAAGCCGGUUGUGAAAGCCCCGGGCUCAACCUGGGAACGGCAUCCGGAACUGUCAGGCUAGAGUGCAGGAGAGGAAGGUAGAAUUCCCGGUGUAGCGGUGAAAUGCGUAGAGAUCGGGAGGAAUACCAGUGGCGAAGGCGGCCUUCUGGACUGACACUGACGCUGAGGUGCGAAAGCGUGGGUAGCAAACAGGAUUAGAUACCCCGGUAGUC
rnacentral:rRNA from 1 species